rnacentral:rRNA from 1 species
AUUGAACGCUGGCGGCAUGCUUUACACGUGCAAGUCGAACGGCAGCACGGGCUUCGGCCUGGUGGCGAGUGGCGAACGGGUGAGUAAUGCAUCGGAACGUACCGUGUAGUGGGGGAUGACGUAGCGAAAGAUACGCUAAUACCGCAUACGCCCCGAGGGGGGAAAGUGGGGGACCGCAAGGCCUCACGCUAUAUGAGCGGCCGAUGUCGGAUUAGCUGGUUGGUAGGGUAAAGGCCUACCAAGGCGACGAUCCGUAGCGGGUCUGAGAGGAUGAUCCGCCACACUGGGACUGAGACACGGCCCAGACUCCUACGGGAGGCAGCAGUGGGGAAUUUUGGACAAUGGGCGCAAGCCUGAUCCAGCCAUGCCGCGUGAGUGAAGAAGGCCUUCGGGUUGUAAAGCUCUUUCAGACGGAAAGAAAUCUCUCAGGAUAAUACCUUGGGAGGAUGACGGUACCGUAAGAAGAAGCACCGGCUAACUACGUGCCAGCAGCCGCCGUAA